ensembl:lncRNA
GUUUUUUAAUAAAAUACUUUAUUGACUCACUAUGGACUUUUUCAGUCGUGUGUCUCUUCCUCAAAUUCGAACCAUGACAAAGAAGAAGCACGGGAGCCGGAACCCGGUUCUGGCCCGGGGCAUCGGUCGCUACUGCUGGUCUGCUCGCAGGGCUAUAUAUAAGAAAAAGACCAAGACCACUGAGACCAAGAGGCAGACCUGUGGUGCCAUACAAUUUUUUUAAUAUUGAUCAAAGACAUGCCACUUUUUCUUUGUCACUUUUUUAGAUGAUAAUUUUUUUUGCUCCAGGUGGAGGAUAAGAGUAAGGCUAGACCUAAGGCAAGUCAUCAAGACUGUUGGAGGAGACAGCAGCUCAGCAGUGGACAUGAUGGUGAUCUGGAAGAUGACAAAACAAAGCAGGUCAAUGGGUCAACCAUUACAGCGAAGACUAAUGGGUAACAGCACCAGAAACGUCAGAAUCCUUCAGGUGGCUUAGUUGGUGGCUUGCAGCGAUUGACAGGUGGCCUGCUGGAGCGUGGAUUCAUUGGUGGCUGGCAGCAAUUGAGAUGGAGACCCUUGGGAUAUCCUUGGCAGGUGGAAUCCACUCCGGCGUUGUGGCAGGCAGUGGCAUGGAGACCAUGGCAGAAAGCGCCUGGACAACAGCGCCGUAAAAUAAAAAGGCUCUGAAUUUGGACACCCCGCUGUUUACGGAUGGACAAUAAUAACGGUGGGUCUAGGGGUCAACCAUUACAGCGAAGACCCAUGGACGACAGGACCAGAGGUCAACGACGGGGCGAAGGCGGGACCUUUCAAGUGGCUUGGAUUGUGGCAAUUAGCAGGCGGCCAGCGGUGGCGUGGCUUGGCAGGUGGUCUGCUGCAGUGUGGAUUAGCUGGUGGCUGGCACCCUUUGGAGGAUUGGCAGGUGGACUCCACGGUGGUGUCCGCGGCAGGUGGCGGCGUGGAAUCCGGGGCAGGUGUCGUGGAGUCCGUGGCAGGCAGCGGAGAGGGACCAACUGAUUUGGAGUGGAGUCCACUGCAGGUGACUCUGCCAUUGACAUGUCGAAGAGGUUAACACGUGAGGAGCAGAUCGAAAUUGUGUUGGUAUCUGGUGAAUGCAGUAACUGGGUCAUUGCAGCAGAUUUCAAUGCAAGACACCCUACGAGACCACCCAUCCUGCUCUUGCUCUUGACGAAGGCGGUCGCACUUUUCUCCUCUCCUCCUCCUCUCCCUUAGCUUCCCUGCUUAGCCUCUUAUGUCCUUGUCUAGUCUCGUGUUUUUUGUAUUACUUUUCCCUGGAACACUCUCUCACAGUCUGUUCUCUAAAACCUAAAAGAGAAAUUAUGGAUUGGAUCAACUGGUCCCUAAAUGCAAUUGACACCCCUUUCUCAACGAGAAGUUUGGGCUUGGGUGAGCCUGAGUGCUGAAGAUAUCUACCUAUUCGGAACCAUGGUAACAGGGUUCUGGCUGAUCGGAGCUGGCUUGGCCCUGACUUAUCGAAGAAUUAAGAAAGCGGAACCGGCUGUUCAAACCCCCACAAGGCUGCCCGCUGAGAUUGAAACGAUGGGAAGAGGCGUGAGUUUCUCAAAAUGGGCUCAUUGAGUGCAGCACGGAUAAGAUCUUGGAAAGGCUACGGCUGCUGUGAAUACUCAGAAUAAGAUCUCUGACUGCAGACUGGAUUACAUCUCGGAAGGGUUAGCUCGGAAUAACAUCUCUGAGCGCAAAUUGGAUGACAUCUCGGGGAGGCACACUGUCGUGAGUUGUCAGAAUCGGCUCCUUGAGCACAAGAAAUGACAUCACAGAGCGCAAGUAUGGCGAAGCUCGCGGCUCUCCAACGGGAGAUUGAGAGACCAGUGUUGGACUGUAGAACUGCUUUGAAAUUCAUAUGAGCUGUUCGUACUAAAGUAAAAAGCACCAUCACUUCAUGCAGAUACCCUCUCGGCGCCAGCUGCGGUCGCAAGGCUGGAGCCAAACAAAAACACCCUGAUAACGACUGUGUUUAGACUGUUCCUUCCCAUUCCAUGCAAGGCCACCUGGGUUGGCUGGAAGACUGUUUACUUUGCCUAGCAGGGCGAAGGACACUGUCUCAGCUGAACUCUGGACACGCACACACAUACAUAUACACUGAUAUGCACACACUCAUCCCCCCUCCCUCUCCAAACGCCUUCGACGCUUAUUCCCUUCCAAUGCUGACGGUGGAUCAAGGAGCCCAGCGCACAGGCUGCAGGCCCGGAUGUACUGUCUAAAUCGGCUGUCUCUCACCCUGCUGUAACCCUAAUUUCCUUUGGGAUUAAUAAAGUAUUCUGAUGAUAAGAGAUAAGAUAAGAUAAGAUAGAAGAUAAGAUAGAACUUUAUUAAUCCCUCGGGUGGGUUCCUCUGGGAAAUUCGACUUCCAAAAAGCACAGCAACGACCGAAGUUACAGUUACAGAAUUGUUAUAUAUAUAUAUAUAUAUAUAUAUAUAUAUAUAUAUAUAUAUAUAUAUAUAUAUACACACACACACACACACACACACACACACACACACACACACACACACACAUAUAUAAAUACAGAGACAAAUAUAAAUAAAAUAUACAACGGGGAUAAAUAGAAUAAAUAGGAAUAAAAAAUAAAAAAUUACCCACCCCUGUUGCUUGUCAUGUGUUUCUUUGGUGUAUUAAGAGUUUUUUCAUGUGCUAUGUGCAGAAGUGUUUUUUUCUGUUCUCAAACUGAUCUCCCUGUUGGAGCUCAGUCUGAGGGGAGUUAUUUUUUUCUCCUUAUCUUUCCUCAUGUGGUGCCUUUUCCAUUGUUAUACCUCUCUGACCUGUCUUCCCCAUGUGAUGUUUUGUGUAAUGUAUGGUCGGAGGGUAAGAUGGCGCCGCCAUUGCGUGCAAUAGGUCUGCAGCCUUAUGAAAUUUCCCCUUGUGGGACUAAUAAAGGUAUAUCAAAUCAAAUAUCACAGACUUUAAGGCCUUUAUAAUCACAGAGCAUACAGAGAAAAGUACUAAACUGAAUCAAUUUCAGCUUUGUUUCUCAUGAUGUAUAUUGUAUUAAUAAUUAAAUUUCAUCAUCUGUGUCUUUACCAGGGCCGUGCAGAGAGGUUUAAAGGGGCGGGUGCUCAAAGUUAAAAAGGGGCACAUUGAACCAGGCUGAAUAACAACAACACACAUUCAUCAAGAAUCUAAUAUGGACAACAAGGCAAAGCAAACGUAGCCGAUUUUUUACCUGAUGGGUACAAUGUUGCUGUUGAGGGGUUGCUGUGGAUAGUGCUGGAGGGCAGGGCUGUGUUGAUCUGAGACUGUAGACAGUAAAAAGUCCAUAGGAGAGAUGGUAGCUGAUUAAACAAGUGUCAUGAGAUAAUAACAAAAUGCAAAGAUUGGUGACAGCGCUUGGAACCAUAAGGCAACAAAAGACUGUGAGAAAUAAUUUAGGCUCUGCCUGUGAAUCACUCUUUGCUUCUCUUCUUUCUUCCAUCCCUUUCAUUUCAUAUAUCACUCUCCACUUGCUGUCUAUCUGAGAACAAGGCACAGCUUGUUAUUGCAAUAAACUAUAAUCUAAUUAUCCACACCUAACAACUCUUGCACUUAAUCUAUAAUUAAAUGAUGACAGAAAAAUGUUAUAGCACUGCCUUUAGUAGCCUCACACAGCUCCUACUAUUUCCUCCUCAUAUCCUUACCAGGCAUGUCUGGACAAUGUUAUAUCAUAAGUAAUAAUUUUAAAAAAUCCAUAUACAUAAAACACACACAUGCACGCACACACAGUGACAUUUUAGACCUUCUUCAGAAUACUGUACUAUGGGCAUCACUGUGCUGAUCCAGAAUCCUUACAUUAUUAUUUAUAGAGCUACAAUAAUAAAGCAAUGAGGAGGGGGAAGUAAUAAAUAUGAAAUAAUGUCAUUAUGAUGAUUCCAUUUGUUUCACUAUCCACUCUGUGCAGGGGCAAAGCUUAUUACAUUUUUAAACUGUAGAGAUACAAUCAUUUUACUGCUGUAAAAUCCAAAUUUUGUCUUAUUUAAAAUAUAAAUCUAAUAUAAUCUGCUUCCUGGGGCGAUCGUGGCUCAAGAGUUGGGCGUUCGCCUUGUAAUCGGAAGGUUGCCGG